rnacentral:rRNA from 1 species
UACGUAGGGGGCGAGCGUUGUCCGGAUUUACUGGGCGUAAAGCGCGUGUAGGCGGGAGAUUAAGUUGGGUGUGAAAGCCCGGGGCUCAACCCCGGGAUGCCGCCCAAGACUGGUCUCCUUGAGGACGGAAGAGGGGAGUGGAAUUCCUGGUGUAGCGGUGAAAUGCGCAGAUAUCAGGAGGAACACCGGUGGCGAAGGCGGGUCUCUGGGCCAUUACUGACGCUGAGGAGCGAAAGCGUGGGGAGCGAACAGG